AGAUUUUUUUUGCAGUGGCAGUAUUGUAGCCCAUGAGGUUUAUCCAAGGAGUGGUUAUUGCUAGUUAAAAACUUUUCAACAGAAUAGCUCAUUGCUUGUGAAGAUUCAAGGAUC
rnacentral:snRNA from 1 species